rnacentral:rRNA from 1 species
GACGAACGCUGGCGGCGUGCUUAACACAUGCAAGUCGAACGGUGAUGCUCCAGCUUGCUGGAGUGGAUCAGUGGCGAACGGGUGAGUAACACGUGAGCAACCUGCCCCAGACUCUGGAAUAAGCGCUGGAAACGGCGUCUAAUACUGGAUACGAAACUGGCCCGCAUGGGCAUGGUUUGGAAAGUUUUUCGGUUUGGGAUGGGCUCGCGGCCUAUCAGCUUGUUGGUGAGGUAAGGGCUCACCAAGGCGACGACGGGUAGCCGGCCUGAGAGGGCGACCGGCCACACUGGGACUGAGACACGGCCCAGACUCCUACGGGAGGCAGCAGUGGGGAAUAUUGCACAAUGGGCGAAAGCCUGAUGCAGCGACGCCGCGUGAGGGAUGACGGCCUUCGGGUUGUAAACCUCUUUCAGCAGGGAAGAAGCGAAAGUGACGGUACCUGCAGAAGAAGCACCGGCUAACUACGUG